AAAUAAGUUAAAACUUUCAACAACGGAUCUCUUGGUUCUGGCAUCGAUGAAGAACGCAGCGAAAUGCGAUAAGUAAUGUGAAUUGCAGAAUUCAGUGAAUCAUCGAAUCUUUGAACGCACAUUGCGCCCGCCAGUACUCUGGCGGGCAUGCCUGUUCGAGCGUCAUUUCAACCCUCAAGCCCUGCUUGGUGUUGGGGUCCUACGGCUGCCGUAGGCCCUGAAAGCUAGUGGCGGGCUCGCUAUAACUCCGAGCGUAGUAGUAAAAUAUCUCGCUAGGGAGGUGUCGCGGGUUCCGGCCGUGAAAGCCCAUCUUUUACACAAGGUUGACCUCGGAUCAGGUAGGAAUACCCGCUGAACUUAAGCAUAUCAAUAAGCGGAGGAAAAGAAACCAACAGGGAUUGCCCCAGUAACGGCGAGUGAAGCGGCAACAGCUCAAAUUUGAAAUCUGGCUUCGGCCCGAGUUGUAAUUUGUAGAGGAUGCUUUUGGUGAGGUGCCUUCUGAGUUCCCUGGAACGGGACGCCAGAGAGGGUGAGAGCCCCGUAUAGUUGGACACCGAGCCUCUGUAAAGCUCCUUCGACGAGUCGAGUAGUUUGGGAAUGCUGCUCAAAAUGGGAGGUAUAUCUCUUCUAAAGCUAAAUACUGGCCAGAGACCGAUAGCGCACAAGUAGAGUGAUCGAAAGAUGAAAAGCACUUUGAAAAGAGGGUUAAAUAGUACGUGAAAUUGUUGAAAGGGAAGCGCUUGUGACCAGACUUGUGCCCGGCUGAUCAUCCAGUGUUCU
rnacentral:rRNA from 1 species